GAUGAACGCUGGCGGCGUGCCUAAUACAUGCAAGUCGAGCGAACAGACGAGGAGCUUGCUCCUCUGACGUUAGCGGCGGACGGGUGAGUAACACGUGGAUAACCUACCUAUAAGACUGGGAUAACUUCGGGAAACCGGAGCUAAUACCGGAUAAUAUAUUGAACCGCAUGGUUCAAUAGUGAAAUACGGUUUUGCUGUCACGUAUAGAUGGAUCCGCGCCGCAUUAGCGAGUUGGUAAGGUAACGGCUUACUAAGGCGACGAUGCGUAGCCGACCUGAGGGGGUGAUAGGCCACCCUGGAACGGAGCCACGGUCCAGACUCCUAAGGGAGGCAGCAGUAGGGAAUCUUACGCAAUGGGCGAAAGCCUGACGGAGCAACGCCGAGUGAGUGAUGAAGGUGUUCGGAUCGUAAAACUCUGUUAUUAGGGAAGAACAAAUGUGUAAGUAACUAUGCACGUAUUGACGGUAACUAAUCAGAAAGCCACGGCUAACUACGUG
rnacentral:rRNA from 1 species